UCCCUGGUGGCUCAGUGGGUUAAGAGUCCUGCACUGUCGCUGCUGUAGCACAGGUUUGUUCCCUGGCCUGGGAA
rnacentral:tRNA from 1 species